AUGGGCUUUUUUCACUUGCAGUGGGAUGAGUUCUGUUGAUUCCUGUAACAACGAAUGCGUUUUGUCACCGAAUGCUCAGCACUGCUCCGCAGACGCAGCCCGCUUCCCUUGCAGUCCCAUUCCAACCACCUCGAGGCACACCUGUUCCAAAAGCUGCACCACUCCUUCAUUGGUCUGAACUGCUUUCCUCCUGUGACGUGGGACCUGUGCUAUAGAACCUGUCCCCUCAGGGACCAACAGUGCAGAGCUGCCUCCUGCGGGGAGGGGGAGGACGUGCUGUGUGUGCUCCUGCCCUGGGUUGUAUCCAGGCAGAUCCCUGCUGAUGCUCUCCUUGGGCAGCCUCUACCUGCAUCCUCAGCUCACCUGCAAGGAGCAUUGCAGCAGGGGAAGCACUGUGGGGCUGAGUCCCAGCCCACCUGCAUGGGAUGGGCACCUACAGUGACUUGGGGAUAUCUGUGGCCAGGGCUUGAGCUGACUCCUCACCAGGCCCAGGAGGUCGGUACCUGCUUUGGCUGGGCUGCUGAACGAGGAGCUGCACACAUGGCAGUUCCAAUUUCAUGCCUAACGUUAGUGCUGGGACAGAAGCAGCGGGGUGAUUACCUCAGCAGUCCCGUUUAAGCUGCACUGACUCCUCACAAAGCGGAGAAAACUCCACAAGCCGUCCUCCACUGCCCAUCCCUCUUUAUAACGCUGUGCUUUAAUUCGUGACGUGCCAGCAAAAAUGCCUGCUGAAAUCUUUGUUACAGUAAUUGAGCACUCUGCAGUUUUGUUAUUCUCGACUACUGGCAUCCAUUUUCCACGGUGUCACGCAAUGGUAUGUGGGCAUUUUAGUCCCACCCCCGGUUUACGUCUGAGGGCGAUUCAAUUCAGAGCUGCGCUCCGCACUUCUGCAAGGAAGUGAAUGGGGUUCAGCAGCUCCAUCGGCCAGCAAAGUGCUGAACAAAUGGAGAGCACCGGCUGCCAACGAACACAAUGCAAAUGUGUACAUUAAAAUGCAAUGAAAGCGGAUUAAUU